UGAAUACGAGAUGCUACGGCGUCGAAGCAGUCUAUGUCAUACUUCCAAGAAAAGCUCGCACUGUCAUAAACAAAUAAUGCCUGUACCAUAACCGACACAGGUGGGUAGGUAGAGUAUACUAAGGGGCGCGAGAUAACUCUCUCUAAGGAACUCGGCAAAAUGACUCCGUAACUUCGGGAGAAGGAGUGCCUUAUUUAUAAGGUUGCAAUAACAAGAUCCAAGCAACUGUUUAUCAAAAACACAGGUCUCCGCUAAGUCGUAAGACGAUGUAUGGGGGCUGACGCCUGCCCAGUGCCAGAAGGUUAAAGAAGUUGGUUAGCAUUCGCGAAGCUGAUAACUGAAGCCCUGGUGAACGGCGGCCGUAACUAUAACGGUCCUAAGGUAGCGAAAUUCCUUGUCGGGUAAGUUCCGACCCGCACGAAAGGCGUAAUGAUUUGGAUACUGUCUCGGAGAGGGGCUCGGUGAAAUAGACUUGUCUGUGAAGAUGCGGACUACCUGCACCAGGACAGAAAGACCCUAUGAAGCUUUACUGUAACUUGAGAUUGAAAUUGGACUUUACUUGCGCAGUAUAGGUGGGAGGCGUUGAUAAUAUUCUUGCGGGAUUAUUUGAGCCAUCAGUGAGAUACCACUCUUGUAAUGUUAGAUUUCUAACUUUGUAUCAUUAUCUGGUCAAAGGACAGUUUCAGGCGGGCAGUUUGACUGGGGCGGUCGCCUCCUAAACGGUAACGGAGGCGCACAAAGGUUUCCUCUGAACGGGUAGAAAUCGUAUCUAGAGUGUAAAGGCAUAAGGAAGCUUGACUGUGAGACCUACAAGUCGAGCAGGGACGAAAGUCGGUCUUAGUGAUCUGACGGUGCUGAGUGGAAAGGCCGUCACUCAACGGAUAAAAGUUACUCUAAGGAUAACAGGCUGAUCUCCCCCAAGAGUUCACAUCGACGGGGAGGUUUGGCACCUCGAUGUCGGCUCAUCGCAUCCUGGGGCGGUAGUACGUCCCAAGGGUUGGGCUGUUCGCCCAUGAAAGCGGUACGCGAGCUGGGUUCAGAACGUCGUGAGACAGUUCGGUCCAUAUCCGGUGUAGGCGUUAGAAUAUUGAGAGGAGCCUUCUUUAGUACGAGAGGACCGAGAAGGACAUACCUCUGGUGUACCAGUUAUCGUGCCAACGGUAAACGCUGGGUAGCUAUGUAUGGAGUGGAUAACCGCUGAAAGCAUCUAAGUGGGAAGCCCACCUCAAGAUAAGUAUUCCC
rnacentral:rRNA from 1 species